rnacentral:lncRNA from 1 species
CCUUGGCUCUGCUGUAACUUGCUGUGGGAUCUUGGGCAUGUCACUUUUCUCUCUCUGGGUUUCUGUGUCUUCAUUGAGAAACUAAGGGGCUGGAUUAUUUGAUGUCCAAUGUCCCACCAGACCUGAAAUCUUGUGAUUCUUAGAUGAAUCAGAAAGGUGAGUCGACAAAACCUGUAAACCCCAGGAGCAAAAGCUGGAAAGAGUAAGACAACACAGAGAGAAGAAGUCAACCUAAGCUAGACCAUUUGGAAACAGGAGAAGUGGAUGAAGUUGUGAGAUUCACAGUCUGCGAGCAGCAUACCCGCUCCCAUGCCUCUCUGCCUUAUGAGAUUACAAGUUGAAAUCCCUCUAAUGGGGAAAAAUCUAUCAUUGCAGAAUGAUUUGCAUCCAGAGAGAUUUCAGUGCAAAUCCUCCUGGGAGAGAGAAUUAUUUCAUUGACGCAAAUUCAUACUAACAUGUAAAUGACUGACACGAGAUUUAUUCCAAAUAGUAGACUUUGAAGGAUGGGGGCCUGGAUCUGGGAGCCUGAAGACAGAGAGAAGAAACAGCACCUCAAAGGGAAGAGUCUAUAAAAGAGUCCAAUAACACGAUUAGUCUACAGCCAGUGUUGCUUUACCCACUACUGUCCCCAACUCCAAGGAAGGAUCCAUGUCGAUCUCUCUCCUUCUGGAAAGUUUUACUGAGGACACAUGUGGCGUUUCUGCCUCUGCUCCCCACCCCCAAUGACAAGCGAAAACAAAGAAGAUAAAAAGGGAAAGCAAGAGAAAGAGGAAAAAAAAGGAAAGACAGCGAAAGAAGAAUCCCUUCCCUACUCUCUGCCAGUAACAUUGACUUUCUGGGUGGUUGUCGCCAUUGCUGCUUCUAGACCUUUUCUUCUCAUUGCUCUGAUAUUUCAAUCCCCCAGAGCAAGGUCUGGGGCAUCUUUCUCUGCAUCUUAAGGCAAGAUCCAGUAGACAGCCAGUGAGCAGAAAAUAACUUGAGAACAAAAAAGUAUGCUUUUAAAAUUUGUUUUCUGAGCAGACUGAUGAUCAGGUAAACACUGUAAGCGUUCAUGAGUGGGCAGAGAAACCAAAUUAGAGAAAACACUCCCUGCGCUCACCAUGGAUCUGUUCCCAACCUCCUCACCAAUUCCUCCCACCCUCAAAAUUAAUUUCUUCUCAACAGUCAGCCCAAAGGAAGAGCCUGAAGAUCUCAGGAAUGCGUGCUCUCAAAACAAGUUGUUUUUCAUCUGCGAACUGGGGACUUUUGCUUGAAAAACAACCAUCUACGGCAUAAACAUAGCAAUAGGACACGAGCAUGUUGGAUGGGCCCAUGAGGAGCUCUUCUUGAAGACAGCUACCUGGGGGUAAGGUCCUUCUGCUAUAGUCAGUCUGAGCACACAGAGAUCCCCCCACACCCCCAAAAAUGUCCAGGGACCUCUGGAGAGAAUCUCAGAGGAUUUUCAGGUAUGCCAGCCCCUCACUGCAAAAAGGAUCUCCUGGCUUGAGCCACUCACCCAGGCUUGUCCUCUGUUCUACUUUGGUCACCUCCACACUGAGCUCCAGAGCCCUUCACCUUGGUCCUGGUCAAAAUAGGGAUGGGAUCUCACUAUGUUACUCAGUCUGGUCUCAAACUCCCGAGCUCAAGCAAUCCUCCCGCCUUGGCCUCCCGAAGUGCUAGGAUUACAGGUGUGAGCCACCGCACCUGGCCUCUCUUAACUUUUGACCCAGUAAUUCUUCUAGAAAGGUACUCUUCUGAUAUACUUGCCCAUAUGCAGCAAGAUCCAUGCACAAGCCUGCCCAUUACCACCUUGUUCAUAAGAGCAAAAAAUUGAGAGCAACCUACAUGCCCAUCAGAAGAGGACUGGCUAAGUUAAUUUGGCACACCCAGAUUAUAAUAAACAGUCCUUCAAUAUGUGCUGAUAGGAAAAGAUCUGUGAGCCAUACUGCCAGCUGAAAAAAAGACGCAGAGAAGUGUGUGACUGUAUUGUCCCUAUCUUAGUUGG